rnacentral:lncRNA from 1 species
AGGUGCCGGCCAUCCCGCGGCCCUCCCUGGCGGUUAAGUCCGACGCCCGCGACCCCUAGCAAACCCUAACGCCCAUCCCCCUCGUCUCCCUCUCCGCCUCUCGAUUUCGUCCGCACCCGAGACCACAGUUGCCGCUGCCUUCUCGAUCCCGUGGCCAUCGGCCUCACCUCGUCGUGCCAAGAUGUCCAUGAGCUCCUCCAUCGUCUUCUCCUUCGACCUCGCCUAAGGGCUCAAGCUUGGAGGGCUGGUACGCUCGGCAUCGCGCUCAUCUUCGUCGGUACAUCGCCGGUGUCCGACGUCGUUUGCCGCGGCUCCGGUCAACCUCCGGCCUCCCCGACCACAUCUUCGAGCUCACGGUGAGCUCCUCCUCCGCCCCCCCCCCCCUCCCCCCAUUCCCGGCUUCGAUCCGUGCCCCCGCGCAUCCUUGCUCGCCGAGGCCGAAGCUUCACGUUCAUGUCACCUGUGUGUACUGAUGUAGUUGCAGCCUCGCGCGCCUCUGCGCGGUGCUCCCGUGCCACACAUCCGCCCGCGCCCUGCCUCCUUGAAGCCGUGCCCCGCGCACCACUCCAGUCGCGCCCCUGCUUGCAUUGGUCGUGCCCUCUGGAUACGACCGCCUGCGCAUGGCAGCGUGCCCCUGGCCUCGCCUCCGUGUCCCGCGGCGCGCCCGUAGCCUCCCUUGCCCGCGCUCGCCCGCAGCCGCUGCUGCCCGCUGUUGCUGGCCACUGCUACUUUUGCUGCUGCUCAGCCGCCGCUACUGCUGAAUUCCGCCAUCGCCUACUGAUGUUGUUGCGUUGCCGCUGCUGCUUUGUUAUCCUGCUACCGCUGCUUGUUACUGCUGCCACUGCUUGUUACUGCUGCCGCGAUCGGUCGAACUCAUCGCUGCUGCCGCGACCGGCCAAACUCGCUGUUGCUUAUCGGCCCACGGCCGUCUGUGCACGCUCGUCGGGAUGGGCUUCGUCCAUGGCCGACUAGGCAUGCUAUCACACGAGCAUCCAAUGCUCACGGACAUGCCAUGCGCGCUCCUGUGUGUUCCUGAGCCAACCAAGCUUUGGAUUAGUGCUAGGAUUUCUUUAGUGUUAGGGUAGGAUUAGAUUUGGUAUUUUAAUUACUUAAUUAGCUAGCUGUGCGGCUGACACGUGGGCCCUCCUUUUUAAUUAAAUGUUAAAUAAGAUUAAAAGGUUCUGUGUGUAUGACAAGCAGGGCCAUAGUCACUGUUCAUCGGUUGACCAGUCAAAAUAUUGACCGGGUCAACCCAGCCCCUGACCCCACAUGUCAUGCACAUUCACAUAUUGCUGGUUACACUCCUGUGUACCUAUAGCAAUUUGUCUAUUUCUAAUUUCGAAUUAAAAUAAAUCCAGAAAUCUAGAAAAAAUUUAAAUCUUUGAAAAUUCAUAUAGAAUAAUCUAUAAGUCAGAUGAAAAAACUUUGUACAUGAAAGUUGCUCAGAACGACAAGGCGAAUCCGAAUACGUUGCCCGUUCGUCCGCCACACAUCCCUAGCUUAACGAACACGCAACUAUCCCCCUCCGGUCUGUCUGUUCGAAAACGUGAAACACCGGGAAUACUUUCCUGGAUGUUUCCCCCAUUUGCCGGUAGCACCUAGUACUGCGUUAGGUCACCCCUAGCACCGUGUAUUGCCAUGUUAUGCUUUGGUAUGCUUUGAUUGCUUCUGUUAUUUAUUGUGUUCCCCCUUCGUAACUUCUUCUCGGUAAACCCUGUGACCGCGGUUGAACCAGUGAUUGACUACUUCGCCUUCGAGGGUCCGUGUCUGUCUGCAGAGCAACCAGGGAAGCCUCCCCCCUUGAUCACCAGAUAUCGCUUAUUCCUUUUCUCUACUGCUUGCAUUAGAGUAGUGUAGCAUGUUACUGUUUUCGGUUAAUCCUAUCCUGCUGCAUGGCCUGUCAUUGUUGCUACAGUUGUUACCCUUACCUGAAAUCCUAAAUGCUUAGUAUAGGAUGCUAGUAUUCCAUCAGUGGCCCUACAUUCUUGUUCGUCUGCCAUGCUAUACUAUCGGGCCGUGAUCGCUCGGGAGGUGAUCACGGGUAUAUACAUACUACACUUUUAUAUAUGAUACAUGUGGUGACUAAAGUCGGGUCAGCUCGUAGAGUACCCGCAAGUGAUUCCGAUGUGGGGGGCUGAAAGGACAAGUGGCUCCAUCCAGGUAGUGGUGGGCCUAAUUUCCCGACGGCCCCCAGUUGUUACUUUGUGGCGGAGCGACAGGGCAAGUUGAGACCACCUAGGAAAGAGGUGGGCCUGACCCUGGUCGGCGUCCGCGGUUAUUUCAAUUAACACGCUUAACGAGAUCUUCGUAUUUGAUCUAAGUCUGGCCAAUGGCCUAUACGCACUAACCAACUACGCGGGAACAGUUAUGGGCACUCGACGCCGUGGUAUCAGCCGAAGCCUUCUUGACGUCAACGACUGAGCAGCGCGCGCCGGAUUGGACUGUAAUCCUGCUCUUUUAUUAAGGGGGCUGGGUCUGCUUCCGGCCGCCCACGCAACAUGCAGGUGUGCAAUGGGCGAUGGGACCCGACCCCUGCGCCAUAGGAUUUAGACUAGCGUGCUGACCUCUCUGUUGUGCCUAGGUGGGGCUGCGACAUGUUGAUCUUCCGAGGCCAGGCAUGACCUAGGAAAGUGUGUCCGGUCAAAGGGGAUCUAGCGUGUUGGGAAAUUUGGUGCACCCCUGCAGGGAAGUUUAUCUAUUCGAAUAGCAGUGUCCCUCGGUAAAAGGACGACCCGGAGUUGUACCUCGACCUUAUGAUAACUAGAACCGGAUACUUAAUAAGACACACCCUUUCAAGUGCCAGAUACAACCCGAUGAUUGCUCUCUCACAGGGCUACGAGGAGCGGGUUGUGGGGUAGGAUUAUGCUAUGCGAUGCUAAUUGGUGAACUUACCAUCUACUCUCUCCUAUAUGCUUCAAGAUGGAGGCUGUCAGAAGCGUAGUCUUCGAUAGGACUAGCUAUCCCCCUUUUGUUCUGGCAUUCUACAGUUCAGUCCACAGAUACUACCCAUUUCAUUGAUAUCAAUGCAUAUGUAGUGUAGAUCCUUGCUUGCGAGUACUUUGGAUGAGUACUCACGGUUGCUUUCCUACUUCUUUUCCCCUUUUCCCGGUCACUGCGAUCAUAUGAUGGAUUCCAGGAGCCAGAGUAUCCCGGGGAUGAUUCUACGUGGAGUUCGACUUGGAGGAGUAGUUAGGAGGUCCCAGGCAGGAGGCCUUUCCUUUUCGAUCGUUGCUACUUUUGUGCUAGCCUUCUUAAGUCAAACUUGUUUAACCUAUGUAUGUACUUAGAUAUUGUUGCUUCUGCUGCCUCUUGUGUCUUCGAGCAUUUGUAUUCAAGCCUUCGAGGCCCCUGGCUUGUAAUAUAAAGCUUGUAUUAUUUUAAUUUUUGUCUAGAGUUGUGUUGUGAUAUCU